GUUCUUGCUGUUGAUUAUAUUCUUUACCAAUCUGUUUGUGUGGGAUUUUUGGUACUUCACUUGAAAAAUGAGUCCAAGGUACUGUGAUGUGAUUGUUUACUUUGUGUGGCCUUUCUAGCCAUGGUCUUAUAACAUCCACCCUGGUGCUUGGGCAGGACUGUGUGAUAGGGUAAUUGUGGCUCACCAAGGGGAUUGUUUAUUUUCCCUUCAAAGAGAACCAGUUCCAGAGCAAAGAGGAGGAUUCAACUCCCAUCAAGGAAGAACAGCCAAGAGCCGAGCGUAUAUUAUGGACCUGAGAUCCCUGCACUGAGAAGCUCCUAGAAGCAAGAGACUGAGAUAGAGAGAGGAAGCUGUAACCCUGAAGAUGCUUAAAUACAGACCAGAAGAGGAGUUUGGGGCUUGACACCUGACAUCUUAACACCAGUUCCUGUUUCUUGAGGAAGGAAGAGGUAAAAUAAAUCAGCGUUUACUGUUUCCUUCUCCAUCCCCGGAAGUCCUGAUGAAGACCCUCUCAGAAGGACUAGACCUCCUGCAGAAUGACUAUAUUGUGCCUCCCUCGGGCACCCCUGUCUGCGCAGCACCCCCCAACGCCAACUGCCCAACCGCCUCUCUCCUGGCAUUCUGCUUCUAGAAGCAUGUUCUUUUGAUGCAGAGAUGCAGCACACACAGAGUCCCAGCUGGAUUACAGACUUGAACCUGAAGACCUUAUGCAGAAUGACUAUUUAUGAACCACUAAGCUCAGUACUAAAGCAGGUACUUACCCCUCAGAGAAGGCCCUGGGGGAGGUUGACACCUGCAUUCCCCAGCGCUCCUGCUGCUCUAGAAGUGCCUGAAAUGCCUCUCUGGGAAAGGCCUUCAGAGUAGUAGGCUCAUGGCCCAGGUGGGAAUUCAGGCCUAUUUUUCUGUUAGAACAUCUCAUUUCGCUCUGAAAAUAUUAUUAUCCAGU